GCCGGAGCGACUGCUCUGUUACCCUUUCGGGGGCCGGGUCCGCUUAGCGGGGACUUCUUGGACAAGCGAGGGUUCUGACGCGUUGACUUGGUGUUCUGCUUGGUUGCGUGUCGGCUGCGGCGACGUCCCUGCAGAGGGACGUGGCCGGGCCGUUGAUGCGGAGGGAACGGGUCAGGCCGGCGACGGAGCAUCCCACCUUGCGCACGUUCCCGUUGCAGAAGCACACCGAGGAGCAUCUCAGGGCUUGAGCCCCAAGUGUCGUCGCGAGGCGGUCC
rnacentral:SRP_RNA from 1 species